GGGCUCUGUGUGAGGCGACAGACUCACAGAAGGAAGCCUCCCGAGUCUCCUGCGCGCUGGGUUACAUUGGGGGCAAGACCUGAGCUCAAAUGGCCAAUGAGGUCAAUGAGGCAUUUGCUGCAAGAGUGAAAUUUAAGGCCGAACCAAAAAGUCAAUAAUCAAGGACCACCGGGAAAGCAGCAGAUUCCAUAUGGAGGCAGAAGUAAGAGGGAUUAAAAAGCCAAGGCCCAGCUUCUGUAGGAGUUUCUGCCGGAGAGAUGAGGCAGGGCAGGUCAACACUCCUGGAGUGGCCAGUCUGAAUACAGCAGCAGGACCUACACGCUGGGCCUGUCUCUAGGUGCCUGACUCCUGACACCGGGUUGAUUGCA